rnacentral:lncRNA from 1 species
AUGAUCUAAAACUUCCUUCUUUCUUCUAAAGGCCUCCUCCGUUCCAAAGUUGCUCAUCCUAAAACCUGAAAAAAAAAAUGACUCAGAAGUGGUUCCCAUCUCAAGAACUACCCACGAGUCUCAGUGGACACAUUCCCCGAUGCAGCCUUCCAAUCCAGCAGAGGUUCCAACCAACUUCCAAACAGGUGCAACUUGAUGGCACCUCAUUUUUGGCUGUACCAGAUGCCUUCUAUCUCUGGACUCCUGCCCUCAGACUUCUCCGACACCUGAAGAAAGCUUCUGGGACAGCUGACAUGCACAACCUGGGAGCUAAAACAUGUGGGACCAGCUGUGACCAAUGAACAAUGAUGGACAGGAGACGAUAACCCCAUUAGUUCCUUACAGUGCUGAGAUAAAUUUCAUGAGUCUCCUAGAAGAUCUGAUGGGAUUGAACAUCAGUUGUACCUAGCAUGGCCGCUGUACUGGCUUUCCUUCCUUCCCUAUUUCAUCCCCCCUCGUCCCUCCUACUCCUUGGGAUCACAUUGACAAAUAAGUCUCUUGCAUGCAAUUCUUUAUUUCAAGCUCUGUAUUCAGUUAGCAGACAGCAGAAAUGUGGUCCAAAGCAGGAGAGGACUCAGCAGCAGCAGGCUCUGGUACAAUCUGCCCUGUCACUCAAGCCAUGUGAAUGAGAAGAUCCAGUGGUGGCUGGUUGAAUGCAUGACUCCCCUGUGGAUGUCAGCCAGAGUCUUCUUCUCAGACAACCAGUGCUAGCACAAUGGGCCCAUGGAUGAGAUGGCUCAGGUGGCAGGAUAAAGGCUGUAUGUGGGCUCGGUAUUGUGGGCUUUCUCUUAGCAAUGACCUAGCUAUUACCACUGCUGAAUGGUCCAGCCAACCAAUGGCAGAGGGAGAUGCCAAUCUCUAUAGCACCUUCACAGAUAUCAGCCAGGCCCUUGGGGAAAGGCUGAUCAUAACAGACCACUUCCACCCCAAAAAGGAGAGGGGAGAUAGAAAUUCAUGCUUACAUAAAUUGACAUGUACUCCAGGUUUGGGUUUGCUUUCUCUGCCUUUAGGGUCUCUGCAAGUGCCACUAUUUGAG